rnacentral:tRNA from 1 species
UGGGAUGUAGCUCAAAGGUAGAGCUCCUGCCUAGCAAACACAAGGACUUGGGUCCAAUUCCCAGUAUUUAAA